rnacentral:rRNA from 2 species
ACGCUGGCGGCGUGCCUAAUACAUGCAAGUCGAACGAGUUCUGAUUAUUGAAAGGUGCUUGCAUCUUGAUUUAAUUUUGAACGAGUGGCGGACGGGUGAGUAACACGUGGGUAACCUGCCCUUAAGUGGGGGAUAACAUUUGGAAACAGAUGCUAAUACCGCAUAAAUCCAAGAACCGCAUGGUUCUUGGCUGAAAGAUGGCGUAAGCUAUCGCUUUUGGAUGGACCCGCGGCGUAUUAGCUAGUUGGUGAGGUAACGGCUCACCAAGGCAAUGAUACGUAGCCGAACUGAGAGGUUGAUCGGCCACAUUGGGACUGAGACACGGCCCAAACUCCUACGGGAGGCAGCAGUAGGGAAUCUUCCACAAUGGACGCAAGUCUGAUGGAGCAACGCCGCGUGAGUGAAGAAGGCUUUCGGGUCGUAAAACUCUGUUGUUGGAGAAGAAUGGUCGGCAGAGUAACUGUUGUCGGCGUGACGGUAUCCAACCAGAAAGCCACGGCUAACUACGUGCCAGCAGCCGCGGUAAUACGUAGGUGGCAAGCGUUAUCCGGAUUUAUUGGGCGUAAAGCGAGCGCAGGCGGUUUUUUAAGUCUGAUGUGAAAGCCCUCGGCUUAACCGAGGAAGUGCAUCGGAAACUGGRAAACUUGAGUGCAGAAGAGGACAGUGGAACUCCAUGUGUAGCGGUGAAAUGCGUAGAUAUAUGGAAGAACACCAGUGGCGAAGGCGGCUGUCUGGUCUGUAACUGACGCUGAGGCUCGAAAGCAUGGGUAGCGAACAGGAUUAGAUACCCUGGUAGUCCAUGCCGUAAACGAUGAAUGCUAGGUGUUGGAGGGUUUCCGCCCUUCAGUGCCGCAGCUAACGCAUUAAGCAUUCCGCCUGGGGAGUACGACCGCAAGGGUUGAAACUCAAAGGAAUUGACGGGGGCCCGCACAAGCGGUGGAGCAUGUGGUUUAAUUCGAAGCAACGCGAAGAACCUUACCAGGUCUUGACAUCUUUUGAUCACCUGAGAGAUCAGGUUUCCCCUUCGGGGGCAAAAUGACAGGUGGUGCAUGGUUGUCGUCAGCUCGUGUCGUGAGAUGUUGGGUUAAGUCCCGCAACGAGCGCAACCCUUAUGACUAGUUGCCAGCAUUUAGUUGGGCACUCUAGUAAGACUGCCGGUGACAAACCGGAGGAAGGUGGGGAUGACGUCAAAUCAUCAUGCCCCUUAUGACCUGGGCUACACACGUGCUACAAUGGAUGGUACAACGAGUUGCGAGACCGCGAGGUCAAGCUAAUCUCUUAAAGCCAUUCUCAGUUCGGACUGUAGGCUGCAACUCGCCUACACGAAGUCGGAAUCGCUAGUAAUCGCGAUCAGACGCCGCG